CCCCGGGGCUAUCGUGUCGCGGGUGCUCACUUCUCUACAGACUGAAUCAGAGUGCAUCACGCCCAUCCGAAGGACUUGGUGAAGUAGCUGUACAUUCCACCACUUCCAGAGGCUCUAAACUUUCAUCUGUAGAGAGAGACCUUUAGAAACUCUCAAAUAUGUCUUCAGAAUCAGAUGCUAAGUUCAAACAUGAAAGUGCCAGUUUCAAUCAUCGUAGAUUUAGAGCCGCUCAUUACCGUAUAACAGGAGCUGCAAGAGAGAAAGCUUUACCCCCGAAAGACGACAGCCCGAAGGAGGAAAACCAGCCAAGUAAAAAAGAAAAGAAAGAUGCUCCUAAAAAAGAAUAGUUCAUUCAGCUCACUGCUACAAUCAAAGAACCCAGGGCAUUCGGCAUCGUCUGAGACAGCAAGUCAGAACUCCAUAUCCCGGGGAAAACCUUGACUCUGUUAAUGCUCGAAUAGAGGUUAAGGAUGAAACAGCUGCACAAGCCACUGGCACAGUUGAAUUAAGUACUGAUGUUUGUGGGCUCAAGUGACCAACAUUGCGGGUUUCCAGUAAAACAUCCUGUAGUUUGUUUGAUGACUAGAUUUAUCCAUCAUAUUUUAUUGUUCAAUUUUGUACUAAGCUAAUGGAAGAUCCACCCAGUAUAUUUGUAUUGCCUGGUAAAAUCUCAAGUGAGAUAAACCAAUAUCUAGCAUUUACAGCUGUGCUUAUUUGUUAUAUUUAAUGAUAAAACUUUAUAUAGCAAUGAUUUAACAUACAGCAUGCAAGAAAAUAUGUACUAAAGCAGGUUUUCUAUGAAUAGCUUUAUCAUUGUUUUAUGUAGGGUGCUUUUUAAAUUCAGUCUGUGUACACUUGUGUAUACAUUGAUGAUUAUAGGUAUGUUCAUGAGUACGUAUAUAGGUGGAUGUAUACAUUAUAGGUGGUUGUAUACAUGAAUGUGCGCCUGUUUGUGCUUUAUGUGUGUAUGUUUAUAUAUGAGGCAAAAAAAUAGGUUUAAAUCACACUUUCCUGUAUAGAAACGUUUGUAUAUGCAGUUCUAAAACGAAAGUAAUAAUAAUGAAUCAAGGGCCAUUAGUUAAACCUGGAACAAAUGUAGUCCAUUCCCGUCUGAAAGAAGCCCCUAGAGAGAUCUUAUCUAAAUAGGAUUCUUUAUUCAUUUAUAUAAAAAAUAUAUUUAU